GAAAUGCGAUAAGUAAUGCGAAUUGCAGAAUUCAGUGAAUCAUCGAAUCUUUGAACGCACAUUGCGCCCGCUAGUAUUCUGGCGGGCAUGCCUGUCUGAGCGUCAUUUCAACCCUCAUUCCCGGCUUCGUGUCGGGGAUGGUGUUGGGGAUCGGCCUCCCGGUUGCGGGCGGCCGGCCCCGAAAUAGAGUGGCGACCACGCCGUAGCCUCCUCUGCGUAGUAGUGAAAACCUCGCAGGUGGAGAGCGGUGCGGCCUGCCGUAAAACCCCCAACUCUUCUAAGGUUGACCUCAGAUCAGGUAGGAAUACCCGCUGAACUUAAGC
rnacentral:misc_RNA from 1 species